rnacentral:rRNA from 1 species
GAUGAACGCUGGCGGUAUGCCUAACACAUGCAAGUCGUACGAGAGUUUUUAACUCAAGUGGCGGACGGGUGAGUAACACGUGAGAAUUUGCCUUUAGGAGGGGGACAACAACUGGAAACGGUUGCUAAUACCCCAUAUGCUUUCGAGUGAAAUGAAUUUAUUCGCCUAAAGAGAAGCUCGCGGCUGAUUAGCUUGUUGGUGGGGUAAGAGCCUACCAAGGCGACGAUCAGUAUCUGGUUUGAGAGGACGAUCAGACACACUGGAACUGAGACACGGUCCAGACUCCUACGGGAGGCAGCAGUGGGGAAUUUUCCGCAAUGGGCGAAAGCCUGACGGAGCAAUACCGCGUGAAGGAAGACGGCCUAUGGGUUGUAAACUUCUUUUUUCAGGGAGGAA